CCACGCCAUUGCAUGCCAGCCUGGGUGACAGAGUGAGACUCUGCCUCAAAAACAAAGCAAAACAAAACAACACAACACAAAACAAAACAAAAAAAGCUUAAUAACUACGUUAUUUUAUUCUAUGUGUAUUACCCACACCUAUCUCUGAAUAAAGUAAAUGUUCAAUAAAUAUUUCAAAUUAGGUUAAUUCAGAAGUUUUAUAUGUAUUUUGAGCAAGUGAAAAUUAGGGUAUGCAUUAGAGAAUCUUAAAACUAUAUGGAUCACAGUGAUUAUGCAUGCAAACUUUUUAUUUUUGUAUGUUACCUUUUCAGAAGAAGAGAAUGGAACCCACAGAUGUAAUGUGAUCAAUGGUCUGCAGUCAGUUGGUGGCAGAUCUAGGUCUGGAACACAAGUCUCUAGCCCAUGGGUUCAACCCUGUAUUUCUUGUAUCUCUGCCACAACUGCUACUAGAACUUGUGAUUUCCACCAAGAUUUCAAAAAUAGGAAUUAAAAAUUAGUAAAGUUCUCUGAAGAUGUUCAUAAACAGAACAUUCUGUGCACGUGUAAUGUCAUAAGUAACUAAUUGAGUCCUGGUAGAGGUAAGUAGGCAAAUGCAUUUUCUUCUUUAAAAAUUACAUAAAACCAAGUGUACAAAGUACAGCUUAAAACCAAGGAUCCCUAUGAAUAGUAUCUGAGUUGGGUUCUUACCCUUUUAAAACUCAGAGGAGUAGAUUUUCAGGCAUGUCAUCCUGUGUCCUACUUUUACAGUAGAACAGGAAGUAGACUAACAGAGAGGAACUCUAUGGGGCCCAUGAGCUGGCAAAUAAACAAACAAAAUGAUUCUAUGUCUAGGAAUGGUAUUCAUACUCCAAAGUCCUUGGUCCAUCCAGGAUAUCUUGUGUCUGUAAUGUCAAAACUAAUAAGAGAAAGGAAUGAAGACAAAGUCCAGAAGUCUGACAGCUGCUUAUUUCCUAUUGGAAGCCAUGAUAACUCAUGCCUGUGUGAUUAAAACAAAUGGUUGAGACAUCUCAAUGAUAUCUUAUUGAUAAGACAGCAGUGGCCAAAUAUUGAUACCAGAACACAAUGAAAUAGUCCUAUAAACCAGCCAUACCAAGAUGUCAAAAUUAUUGAUUUAAUCCCUUAUAUUUUCCCAUUUGUCAACACUCAAUAUUGGAUACCCAGCCAAAUGUCUUUUUGGUUAUCUUUAAAAAUCAAACGCUUUAUACUUCCUUGAGCGUUUGUUCCAUAAUCUCACAUGUUUUUACUUAGAUUUUCCUGAUAGAGUGCCUAUUUUUUAAAAUCUUAGCUUUAUCCAAUAUUCAUACUUAUUUUAUCUUUUUCCAUCACAUUGCAGUAACUCUCCAUUAGUGUUGUAAUCUUUGCUUCUGCAUUGUUGCUUUUCCUACCACAGAUGUAUAUUAAGACAUUACUAAAUUCAGAAAUUAACUCUGAGAUCCUGUUGUAAAUGUACCCAUCUUGCUGCUUUUGACCCCAUGCAUAUCUUUUGGCUAAGAGUAAGAGAGAAAGAAGAAAACCAAUGCUCUUCUUCAUUCCAGAAUAAACAACAUUUAUAAUCCCAGACCUGUGGGAAGCAUUUCCAGGAAAUAUGGAUCAUCACAUUGGCUCUUGUUACCAGAACUGUGCAAGGCUCCCAUUGGCCGAACACAACUGGAUUUCAGAAGACUUAAUGGAGACUAUACAGGAAUGACCUGCCUUGUUGUAAGAGGUUUGGGGAGAGAGCCAUGUGGCAAGCAACUGCCAGCAGCCUCUUGGAACUCCUGGCUAACAGUCAGCAAAAAGCCAGAAACCUCAGUUUACAACCACAAAAUGAUGAAUCCUGCCAACAACCUGAGUCGGUUUUGCAGUGGAUCCAUCCCCAGUCAAGCUUUCUGAUGAGAAUCCAGCUCCAGCCAAGAGCUUUUGCUGUUGUUCUUGUAAUUAAUUGUUCCAAGCAUCCAUUCUUUCUGUAGCCUCAAGAUGGUAUAUACGAUUUUGCACUUCGUUGGGAGGUCAUGCUGAUACAAGAGGUGAGCUCCCACAGCCUCGGGCAGCUCCUCCCCUGUGGCUUUGCAGGAUACAGCCCCCAUCCUGGCUGCUUUCAGGGGCUAGUGUUGAAUGUCUGCAGCUUUUCCAGGCGCAUAGUGCAAGCUGUUGGUGGAUCUAUCGUUCUGGAGUAUGGAGGAUGGUGGCUCUCUUCUCACAGCUCUACUAGGCAGUGCCCCAGUGGGGACUCUGGGGCAUCCAACCCCACAUUUCUCUUCCACACUGCCCUAGCAGAGGUUCUUCAUGAGGCCCCACCUCUGCAGCAAACUUCUGCUUGGACAUCCAGAUGACAGGUAUCAUUAUCCAUGUGGAAGACUAGGCUGGAAGAGCUUGUCUCCAACUUUGAAGAAGUGAAAAAACCAGAUGUUUGGGGCAAUUCAGAAGUCUGUGGAAGUUGAAGGUGUUAAUCAAUGGCACUCAGGUUACUUCCAAGAGAAACUAUUCAGGAUUUCCAAGUAACGAAGAAUCAAGCUAGUUUGUAAUGUCCUCAAAGAAAGAAACAUUUUCAUUUCUACAUGACCAGCAGCUAUCAUAGGGGCUGGCACACAGAUUUCUCAUCCUGGGAGAAACCAGCUGCCAGGUCUUGAGGAACACUCAAGCAGCACUGUGGGGAGACCCAUGUGGUGAGGAACUGGAGCCUCUGGAUAACACUCAGCAGAAACUGAGGCCUUCCAACAACCCCAUGAGUGAUACUGAAAGCAGAUCUCCCAGCCCCAGUCAAGCCUUCGGAUGACUGCGGCCCAGUAACAGCUUGAAUGCAACCUCACAAGAGACGUUGAGCUAGAAGCAGCUAGCCAAUCCACUCUUGGAUUCCUGACCCUCAGAAACUGAUAAUAAUAAAUGUUUGCUGUUUUAAGCUGCUAAGUUUUGUAGUAAUUUGUUACAGAGCAACAUGUAACUAUCAUAUGUUAAUAUUAACAGUGAGAUGGUGGCAAAAUACCAACCCACAAUGUGGAAGUGGCUUUAGAACUGAGCAAUGGGCUUUGACGAAAGGGUUAGUGACAGUCUGUAGUGCCUCGAACACACCGUCAAUAGAAGCCUUGUGGUUUUUCCUAAAGCUACAGGUGAGGGCUCACAGGUAAAUGAAGCAAAUGUUGGAAACUAGAGAAAGAGGGAAUUCAUUAUGUUGUAGUAAAAAAAUUAGUAAUGCUUUUGCCUGAAG
rnacentral:lncRNA from 10 species